rnacentral:lncRNA from 1 species
UUCGAUAUGUGUGCCGUGAGAAACAACAAUUAUCUGAUGAAAUAGUUGAAAUGUGUCACUUGACGAUAGUUUGAUUAACUAGUUGAGGUGUGGAAGCUGGUCCAAAAACCUAAACUAUAAAGAUUGUUGGUUGUGACUUGUGUUGCAUUCAAUUAGUUUUGCCAUUUGAACCAACCUAGUUUAGUGGUUCUGAUCUCUUAAGUGUCAUUUUUU